CAUCUACGUCAUCAAAUCAAAUCACGUUGGAAAUAGCAAUACUUGAAUUAUUUGCUAUGAUGCAAACAAAGUAUGUUAAAUUCAGGUUACAGGAUGGCCAUUUCUUUACAAAGCUCUUCUGAUUGACGGUGUUGUAACUUCGGAAAUCAUUUAAGAUUACGACUCCAAACGAAAAUAGUUUCAUAACUUCAGAUCGGAACACGGACUGUAAGGAAAUAAACGAUGGUAUUUCGGAGUUGCCGUGAUGGAAGUUUCAUGCCUUUCUAAACAACGGAAUUCAGAUGAU